rnacentral:lncRNA from 1 species
UCUUUGACACAACUUUGAAUUAAUAGAAAAGUUGAUAUAUAUCUAAAUUUCCAUUGAGGAGUUGAGUUUAAUCUUUGGAUUUGGUAACUUUGAUCCAAGUCCUUUGACUUUUGUGCCACAUAGAAUUACAUUCAUUUUUUAAUAUUUUAUGAUGUAAUCUUUUUAUUAUUUUAUUUUUAAAAUUAUUUUUUGUUCCAAUGUUGCCUCUUAUGACUUGAAUCGGAUAAUAGUCAUUUUAUGUCAUAUUGCCUAUUGCCUAUUGAUAUGUAUAUG